rnacentral:rRNA from 1 species
AUGGUAUCAUCAUUUCAUCCACAUAGUAUGUGCAAGAAAGUUGAGGGGGUUACGGCAAAAACUGGAUGCACUUCGUGUAUAAAACGGACAAUCUAUUUCGAAGUAUCAGGAAUUCAUACGGAAACUUGUCUGUUACAACAGGCAUUUCAAAUGAACUACGAAAAGGUUAAAAGUUGGCAUGGUAUCAUCAUAAUAGUUGUGGAGAAAGUCUUCACUUAUUCUUCGCUUGUGUCCUUUCCUUAUUGCGCCGUAACCAUGGAUAAUCUUCAUCAUUUAUCAGGAUGCUUGGGUCAGCCUUGA